rnacentral:tRNA from 1 species
GGGCCUGAAAUGGUGUCGAUUGCGAUUAAGACCCUAAACGGGAAGUCGUAAGACCUGAGUUCAAUUCUCGGCAGGUCCACCA